AUACUUACCUGGCGGGGAGAAACCGUGAUCAGAAAUGUGGUUCUCCCAGGACGAGGCUAUCCCAUUGCACUUCGGUGCCCUGACAUCUGCGAUGUCCUCAAAUGCAGGAUACUCAACUGCAAAAUUUGUGGCAGUGGGGGACUGCGUUUGUGCUCUAAUUUG